rnacentral:lncRNA from 1 species
UGGUCUUAUGAGAGGGGGCGUUGUUGUGUAGCAUAAACAAUUGGUGGGGGGAUUGGGUCUACUGAUGAUGCAGAAUCAAAGUUGAGUUCAUCAAGGAGAGGGGGUCGCUCCUCUUUCUUGGGGUUUUCAAAUGGUUUGGGAGGGUAAAAAGAAAGAAAAAAAAAAAACCACCGAGAAACAGAGAAGAGAGAGAGAAGAGAGAGAACAGAGGCUCAAGAAAAAAACAAAAGGGCGUUAGAAAUCGGACAUUUCAAUUCGCGUUGAAAAGUUGGGAGACCCUCUCUCUGUCGCUGUUAUACUCAUCCUCCUCCUCCAAAGGACGGACUUUCAGCUCCAAAUUUUCAAUCUUUUUCCUUCCUCUCUCUCUCUCCUCUGUUCUUCGUUUCUUGCAAUUCUUGCAAUUCUUGCGGAAAAGAAAAAACCGAAAAUUUCUGCUCUCU